UACGUAGGUGGCAAGCGUUGUCCGGAAUUACUGGGCGUAAAGGGCGUGUAGGCGGCCUUUUAAGUCAGACGUGAAAUCUCCAGGCUUAACCUGGAAACUGCGUUUGAAACUGGAGGGCUUGAGGAUCGGAGAGGGCAGUGGAAUUCCCAGUGUAGCGGUGAAAUGCGUAGAUAUUGGGAAGAACACCGGUGGCGAAGGCGGCUAUCUGGACUGUGAUUGACGCUGAGGCGCGAAAGCGUGGGGAGCAAACAGG
rnacentral:rRNA from 1 species